rnacentral:rRNA from 1 species
UACGGGGGGGGCAAGCGUUGUUCGGAUUUACUGGGCGUAAAGGGCGCGUAGGCGGUCAGCACAAGUCAGUUGUGAAAUCUCCGGGCUUAACUCGGAAAGGUCAACUGAUACUGUGCGACUAGAGUGCGGAAGGGGCAACUGGAAUUCUCGGUGUAGCGGUGAAAUGCGUAGAUAUCGAGAGGAACACCUGCGGCGAAGGCGGGUUGCUGGGCCGACACUGACGCUGAUGCGCGAAAGCCAGGGGAGCAAACGGG